CCGUGACUUAACAGUUUAAUGUAAAUCCAAGACAAAGUGUGAUUACAUUUCUACACAUAUACAAUAUGCAUAUGUGAUCAUACAAAUUCUCAUUAAUAACUCGAUUCACCUCGGAGACCGAAAAAAUGAUCAAAAGUAACAGUGAAUAACAAGCUAUAACAUAGUUCACCACAAAGCGAGACCCUCUCAUCCUACAGUUAGUAAAGAGGACAAUUAAAAUAACUAUAUUCUUCUAUUUGACGAAGGUUGUUUGUCUGUUAAAAUCCUCCCGUAGUUUUACAAAGCUAUCGUUAGAUUUUUGAAGCCUAAUAUAAAUUCACUCCAUUUUUCUACAACGAAAAUGAUUAAGAGAAGCACACAACAUCAUAAUGGAAACACAAGCGCUGAGAAGCAUGUACUCAAUAUUGUUAGGAGUUUUUGUUUUACUUAAUCACUCUUCUUAUUGUCAUUAUUAUAAUUAUUUAAACAUUCUAUAAAGCCAGUAAAAUAUCCAUUCUCAUAACAUAGUUAAUAAUAUUAGGCUAAGGAAUAGGGUAUACAUAGAUCGCUACGGUAACAGAUUGAAAUAAUAAGACAUCACACACCCCAAUAAAGAAAAGAAAAGGAGGAGAGUAACAGAACAAAAGGUUUAGCAGGAAAUACAGCACACAUUGGCUUCAUCAACAAAGAAAUGUCAUCCGUCGCUCCAGCAAACGGCAAUGGACACAACAGGGGGUCAGGGUCUGAUGCAGGUUUAGGUCUUACAAUGGAAACUAUGGUCUGAGGGAGAUUCAUAAGAAAAUAUGAACAUGUGUGUAAAGUACAAGCAUACGGCCAACACAGUAGUUAAUUUUAGUUUUGACAUAAAAAUGAGAAUGGCAAAAUAGAAUGUAAUUCAAGUCAAAUGGGAGAAAUUAUUCUUUUACAAUUGAAACUCUACACACCAGGCUUUAUCGUAAUAAAAAAAUAUUUUUCACAUUGUAAAAAUGUUAUACCUAAAUUUGAAAGUAGUCUUUGUCUUGGUCUACAAACGUAUUUGUCUUGGAAUAGUGUUGUUUUGAUCUGUAAGUAGCAAAGUGUUGGACUAGGGACUUAACAUUAAAGAAAUUUGGAAGAAAUAUAAUCUGAUGCAGUUAAAAUGGUUAUGACCACAAAGCAAUUUGAAUCACUUCUAGUAAUAACAACAAUGUGUAACACCAUUUCACAGUGAUGGCAUCAAACCUUGACCACCGUACCCUGAAUCCCACUUAAGGAACAGCCAGCAAAGGAGCAAAUCUCCACAUCGAGAUUCAAAAUUAGGAAGAAUGUUCCUCUCAUAUGUGUUUUUGUGAUAGAAUGUCUAUGUCAUCUGAUUGUACGUAAUGGAGAUUAAAGAAAGGAAAGAGUCCAUCAGCUCAUGUUAACUCCAGCCAACACAUUUUAUUACCUCCUUAUUACUUUUGGCAGCGGCUUGACAUUUUAUCAGACGAUUGCAAGGUGAAACAGUUCUUUGUGUGCGUGUGUGUGUGUUGUGUGUUGUGUGUUUUGUGUGUUAAGUGAUUCACCCCUAUUCACUUCUUCCAGCACUUCAAGUCACUACUUCAGGAGUUUGGCAGGAGAAUACCAAUGGAGCUUGCAAUAAGGGUGGUAUGCCUUGAGGAAUGUUUUGCAAUUAUUUCAGAGUUCAAAGAGCAUCAUUACUCACAAACAACAUUGUGGACAGAGUUGGAAAUUGACACCUUUUGUGUGAAGUAUUUUCUUUUAAAGAACAGUGGGUAAAAAAAAAUGAUGAAAGGCUGAGAGAGACUGAGCCGCACAUAGCUUUGACUAAUUUUAACCACACCUCAAAGUUAGAAGGUAUUCUUAGUUGUUUGGAUUGCAGUACUCUUGAAUUAAAAUGACCAAAUGCAGCAUUCACACUUUGUACAUUUUGGUACUCCAAAGUCACACUUCCAAUUUGUCUUUUUUCACAAAAUUAAAAUCAUGGUUUCAUGUAAAACUCAUGUGAAUCUCGAUUGCUGCAUCUUGGUUUUGUAUUUUCCAAAUAGUCUUUGUUUCUUGUUCAAAUUAGAAAACAAGAAACAGAAAUAUACUCUCUCAAGGGUGAAUUAUGCUGCUAAAUAAUUAUGCAAUAUAGUUACUGUAGAAUUAGUGCAUCAUGCAUUGGUGAAAGUUGACAGUUACAUAAAUUCAGUCUUUAAAUUAAAUAUUCACCUGCUGAAAGAGCUGUAAAGCAUGUUCAAUGUCACAGGUCACACAUUACAUUCAUUUUGUGCACGUGACCAUGAUUUUAAAGGUAUAAUUGGUAUAUUUUUGAUUAAAUUAAAUUUACAUAUCAUUCCAUUCCAUGGCACACUAACCCAAUACAUCCGCUUUUUUUAUACAAAUUACAUUUUGUUGAAAUAUUGAUAAAGCUACGACAUCAAAGACUAAAACAAAAAAUACACAUAAAACCUUUUAAGGAGAAGUUAAGAUAUUAAGGGAACAGAUAAACUAAUAGCUACCUAUUGUCGUGAGUCAAUGCGGGAAUACAUAAUAGGAGUAACACUAUUCAUAGAGAACGCUUGGCUGCAGCAGUUGUUGCUUGUAUUUACAGAAACUAACUCAAUGAAUGCAGUGUGUGUUUUGCAUGGUAAAUCUCUCCUUUGCACACACACACACACACACACACACACACACACACACACACACACACACACACACACACACACACACACACACACACACACACACACACACACACACACACACACACAAUUCUGCAUAUACAUUCAACGGGGCUAAAACCAAAAAACAUCCCUAAAAGCACUUUUAAAGAAAAGUCUUGUUAAAAGAGUUAAAGGAAAGAAACCAGAAUUAUUGCCGGACUACUUUGUGGAGACGCUGUGGAGGAUUGCUUGUACUUUGCUGAGAUGUACAGAGUUGUGUGUGUGUGUGUGUGUGUGUGUGUGUGUGUUUGUGUGUGUGUGUGUGUGUGUGUGUGUGUGUGUGUGUGGGAGUCUUUGGUGGGAGGAUUCUGAGACAGGACAGGGUCGCCCCGUGGAAACGCGGCAGCAGUGUAAAAGAUGGAGGACGAACGCCAGAUUUCAUCAAACAGUGGAAUGUUUCAGUAGUCUUCCUCAGAACUGAGGAACCAAAGAAUUCAAUGAAAAAAACAGAAAUCUCUCGUACGUGCGUACUUACGCCCCAAUGGGCUGAGGGCUAGACAAAACAAUAAGCAUAGGAACAAAAACAUCGACACGGACAAGAAUGUGAAAGAAAAAAAAACAUUCUGCAUCACAACAUCACAUCUUGGACUGCCAGGAUCCCCUGUUGGCCACUGCGGACCACCGGCGAGGGGAGGGGGAGGGGGGAGCAAUCAGUACCGAGGACAAGAGAGCCCACUGACUUCCACCAGUAGUCACUUAAAUGUUGGUUUGGAGCUUGGGCAGUGGGCACACAUUGAGGCUAAUCGCUAACGACUCAUUUGGAUUAUCUUCACCUUAACAGUUAGCAUGGUCAGCAGUGCUUUGAUACUGGUGCCCCCACCUGGGUCUUAAUGUUACUCUACAUCCACCCCAAGGUUAUAAAUCAAGAAAUGAAAUGAGCAGGACAAAAUUCGAUUCAUAAUAAUGAUAUAAAAAAGAAAAAUAUAUAAACUCACGCACACACGCGCACACACAUACACGCACUGAUAGAACAGCCACAACAAUUAUUGCAACAAUCUCUAAUAAUAAUUAACACAACAAAACCUACAACCAUGUCAAAAGUUAAUCGUAACAUGAGAACAAAAUAACAAAGAAAAAUCCAAAAACAACUUUAAAUGCCAGAACUAUGAAGGGAAAGGGGAAAAGGGGAAGGCUUGUUUAAUAAGCCACUAGCACUUGAGAUGAGCGCACUCAUUUCACGAGGACAAAAUAACGUUGUUCGAUAAUGAAUACUAAUCCCGUCAGUGGCUAAUAGAGAGAACAUCCGUUAGAUAAAGCAGCGGGUCACAUGGAGCGGGAGCCCCGUUGGGUAUAGUUCUGCGUGUUAAGUUGUGCCCCCGAGGGGUCUGUACCUCGGCUCACAGACACACACGCGGCGGCGGCGGCGGACCAAGCCCAGGUCCAAGAGAGGCUCUUCCAGGGUGUGUGUGUGUGUGUGUGUGUUGGCCUCCUACGAAAGAUCACCUCAGGGUUCCUUGUUACUAUCAACCUGCUCAGUGCCAACAUGCUCACCUCUUUUCCUUCCAUUUAAGAUAAGGGAUUCCAACCUCCUCCUCCACCAAUCCUACCCCAACCAACCCUUAUGCUUUCUUAGGCCCGCCCCUUAGAGCUUGUGCCUACACACUAUCUGUCUCCUGCAGCCCUCUGUCCUCUAGUCUCUCUCUCUCUCGUUCUCUCUCUCUCAGUCUAUAGCAACCCGGCCCUCUCUCCCUCUCUCUCUCACUCGUUCUCUGUCAGCCCUCACAUUGGCCUUGCAGGGUCGCCGCCAUGGAAACAAACACUCUCUUUCAGGUCCUUUUAGCUUGACCUAGCUCGACGAGACGACUUCUGUGUAGUCUCGAGCUUGAUAUAAUGUCAACACCGAGGCUGCGCUAAUGCAUCCAAGCCAAUCCGAUGUCACUUUACAUUGGUUUGUCCAAAUGGAGUUGCCCAGUAUACGAUAUACCACCUCACACUACUUUCCAGCUCUGGAGUCCCUGCUGCUUAUGAAUUUCCUUCUUCUUCUGUGGUAAAAAAUACACCAAGUGAUCUUAAAAGUAAAGCCACAUUUCGGGUGCCACGGUGGUAGAGGUCACAGUUACACUAUACAUUUCAUUAUUUACAUUUAUAUCCCGAAAAACAGAAACAAAACAACGACAUGUGACCAUAAUUUAUGUAACGACUUUGGUUAAGUACCCCCAAGCAAGGUUAUCUCAUGCACGCGUCAUAAAAUUAGCUCAGUUUUUAAUCAUAUCGACUCUCUGACAUUAAGUGUCAACAUCAUCAUCAUCACUUUAUAGUACGCUGUCAAUGGGAAACACAAAACGCUAAAACAACCGGGCAGAGUCUACACCUGGAAGAAAGCUACAACUGCCAAGACUGGGGGGAUGUCAGACCAGGGAAGCACUCCUCGCUUGAAGCGCCCUUAGGGUCUCCAGUGGCUCUGGGGGGGGGGGAUCAGAGCCAGGUAAACUGUGUCAUUAUAUCUGUAAGGCACUACUAUAGGGAAGGACGGCUGAAGAAGCUAAAGGACAAUGUACAAUGCAGGGCUUUUCCAUCUACUCAACAUGGCUGACAGUAGCGCUUACACACAGCCACACGCAGGCACGCGCGCACACUCACACACACGCACACACACACACACACACACACACACACAGACAAUCACGUUGUACAUGCCUAUGUUAUUAUAUAACCACUUUUGUGCAAUCACAUUGAAAAAAGAAGAAAUAAAUCGGAGGAGAGUCGAAUAAGUCUAUUGGUAUCAGGGAGGGGGGGAAAAAUAAAACCAAAGUUUCCCCAUAAAAACAAGUUGGUGCAGACUGCUACAUUCUAAGAACAGGGGCCCAGCUAAGACACCUAGCUAAAACAGAGUUUAUCGUAUCGUAAAAGGUGAAACAUACAAGAAGGUAAGGAACAAAAAAUAUCUAUAAAUACACUAGAAAGUUUGUUGUCUUCUGGUGGUUAUAUUUCCAGAGUCCUCCUCGAGUUAGUUGAGAAGAUGGAGUGAGCUGGGGAAGGGCCCUCUCCCAGACACACUGUGAAUGAUUUGGAAAUAGUUAAGACAAUUAAAGGCCAUCAAUAUAUAUUUUUUUCUUAAAAGAGCAGCAGGUUUUUUUUCUUAUUAUUUCACUUUCUCUCCGUAUUUGGGAUAUUCGACACACCCAGAGAGAGCUAUCCCUGUUCCACUGUCACGUCCCAGACCAGAAGGGGAGAGGGGGCAGGGGGUGGGGGGAGGCGAUAAAACCAAAGCAACGUCUCUUUGAGGAAGAAAUCCUCCGUCUAAGCAGGCCUGUCAAAGGGACUCCAUCGUGAAACCAGUCACAGAAUCGUUCAAAGGUAAAAUAUUGAAAUCAAAAUAAUAGACUUGAACUGGCCCUUUUUGCAAACAAGGAUUAUAAACAGGGGCCGGGGGAGGGGGAAAUGUAACGUACCCCUCUACAAUCCUACCCAACCCUCUCCCUUCUCAUUCGGUUCUCUCUCGCUCUCCGCUUUCAAGUUUACACGACUUUGUCAGAUUCCCAUCGGACUCCUUUUGCCUCCUUCUCCUUCUCUGCCUCUACAGUUC
ensembl:lncRNA